UACGGAGGGUGCAAGCGUUGUCCGGAUUUAUUGGGUUUAAAGGGUGCGUAGGCGGCUGAUUAAGUCUGGGGUGAAAGCCCGUUGCUCAACAACGGAACUGCCCUGGAAACUGGUUAGCUUGAGUACAGACGAGGGUGGCGGAAUGGAUGCUGUAGCGGUGAAAUGCAUAGAUAGCAUCCAGAACCCCGAUUGCGAAGGCAGCUGCCUAGACCUGUAACUGACGCUGAGGCACGAAAGCGUGGGGAGCGAACAGG
rnacentral:rRNA from 1 species